UACGGAGGGUGCAAGCGUUAUCCGGAUUUCCUGGGUUUAAAGGGUGCGUAGGCGGGCUUUUAAGUCAGCGGUGAAAUCUCCAGGCUCAACCUGGAAAUUGCCGUUGAUACUAUUAGUCUUGAAUUAAGUUGAGGUGGGCGGAAUAUGUCAUGUAGCGGUGAAAUGCUUAGAUAUGACAUAGAACACCGAUUGCGAAGGCAGCUCGCUAAACUUAUAUUGACGCUGAGGCACGAAAGCGUGGGGAUCAAACAGG
rnacentral:rRNA from 1 species